rnacentral:rRNA from 1 species
GGAGGCAGCAGUAGGGAAUAUUGCGCAAUGGGGGCAACCCUGACGCAGCAAUGCCGCGUGAGUGAAGAAGGCCUUCGGGUCGUAAAGCUCUUUUAUGGGGGAAGAUAGUGACGGUACCCCAUGAAUAAGCACCGGC